rnacentral:tRNA from 1 species
GGGGCACUAGCUCAUCUGGCUAGAGCGCAACGCUGGCAGUGUUGAGGUGGUCGGUUCGAGUCCGACGUGCUCCA